ACACACACAGGCAGAACACUCAUACACAUAAAAAUAUAAAAUAAAUAAGUAAAUAAAUUAGUUUUCCCAGGGUGAGACUCACCCACUGCACUUGGGAUGUGCUGACCCCUGCGAUUUCCCCAAAUGCAGGAAACUCGACUGCAUGAUUUGUGGUAGUGGGGGACUGCGUCCGCACUCUCCCCUA
rnacentral:snRNA from 1 species